UAAGAAGCAAAAUUGAAAACUUAGUUAUGCAUACAAUUUUUUAACGAUAUACCAUCAAAAAUUAAAUGUUCACGCAAUAAUGAAUAUGGUUUCCUUGUCAGCUUCUAACUCUUUUUAUACUUGGAAAAUUUUACUUUUUUGAAGUAUAGAAUAUAUUUAUAUAUGUAUGAUGUUUAAAGGUAAAGCAGGACAAUCAAUUAAAAAGCUGAGAUUUAUUUUAAAUAAUAAUUACUUUAAAAUAAUCUCUAUAUAAUUAUACGAAUUAUAACUUUACUUUUUCGCACUGAUUUUGUUUCAACAUUUUUCGUCACAAUAUAUCGCACAAACAGUCCUUCAGUAGCUUCUAAUGAAAUGUUUACAGCCGCACAUUACUUGUAUUCAUUUCGUAAGUACCUGAAUGUACUUUUUAUGUUGGUCUUCAUGAAAUAAUUAAUGAGGCAGUGCCUACCAAAGAUCAAUGAUAAUUACAUUAAUGUAUUUAUUUUUAAUAUCUAUAUACUUUGAUAUAUAUAUACAUAUACAAAUGAAUAUUCAAUUAUUAUUUUCAUCACAUUUCUAUAUAUAUAUAUAUAUUUAUUUAUUUAUUUAUAUGGUAAUAAAAAUUUUUUUUAAGGAUUCUGUUGCAAAUAGUCGUAAUUUUUAUAAGGGGAUAUAUUUUGCAUUGCAAAUUUGCAUGCAUUAGUAAAUAUCAGCAAUUAUUGAUUACAAAUAAAUAGCAACAAGAUCAGGAAGUUGUAACACUACUCCACUCAGUCAUUAUUUUUUAACAUCAUUGUUCUUAAUUCACGUUGUCAUUACACAAUAAUCGGAAGAAACGUAAUGCCCAGCAUUGUCACCGUUUUCGAUCAUUUCAGUCAUAUCCCUUAAUUUUACUGUUAUUUUUAUUUGUAGAUGACAUAAUAACAAAAUAAGUGUAAAGUUACAGCUAAAUAAGCGUAAUAAGUUGAUAUAAAUUAGCUGUAAAAUCAUAAGGUUAAAUACAAUUUAUAUAAAACUGAAAAUACAUAUUUUUUUCGUUUUUGUUUUAUAAAACGCAUCUCGAUAAAUUAAAGUUAGCAGAAAAUGUAAUAUACUAUACAUUGUAAUUUAUCCAAAUCUGAAAAUUUUAUAGAGCAGUUCAUUACGUUUCAUGUAAAAGGCAUUCGUAUACAGUUCUAACUUCAACGCGGUAAUAUUAUUGACAUUAUUAUUAAAUAACAUUUACUGCACCUAAAUUUAAUAAUAAAAAUACCUAAAUCACAAUAUGUUUUGCUAUCACGUGAUAG